UUCAAUUUCUUUUUCGUUCGACGUACGUAAGAAAUAAGAAUAUGUACAUAAUAAAAAUGUUUCCUUUCGUUAAAUUUUAUAUUACAGCGCUUAACAUCGUCGUCCUUCAUCUUUAUUGAAAGUUUGUCACCGUUGAACUUGAAAAAGUUAGUAUAAAUACAUUCGCAAGAAACUUCAAUGUUUCAGUCAUCCUGAUUGAGAAAUUCGUGUAAUAUUAUUCACGUCUUGAUUUUUUUUUUUUUUGACAAAAUUACCAAAGUGCUGCGGUCAUGAAUAAGUAUACGUUUUUGGCUAUUUUGUUUGUGGCACUUAUAGCUGUCACCACAAUUCAUCCGGUCCAUGGUCACAGUAGCGGAGCUGUAGGCAGAUAUUUGUUACAAAUUCUGAGGGAUAUAAAUCAAAUAAUUAUAGACUACGAAUACCUCAUUGAUGAUUCCUUCAAAAAACCUGGCCGGUUUUUCACUUAUAUGAUCGUAGAUCCGAUUAGAAACUCUAUAUUCAAGUUCUUCAAAUUCUUGAUCAAAACAUUCUUAUUGAGUUAAAUCACAAUGGUCUUAAGGGAAUGCGUACCUAAUAGACAGUUUCAGUACAUUACAAUAUAGAUAGGCCUAAUAAGAAUUAAUCGUAAACGUACAUCUACCUAUAAAAAACCUUCAUUAAAAAUGUUCUUCACUUUAUGUAAUUUAGACAAAUAAAUUAUGCUUAUACGAGUAA